GUGUGUGUCUGUGUAUGUGUGUGCGCGCGUGUGUGUAUAUGUCCUUUUUUUUUUUUUACUUUUUUACAUCACCUUCUUACACCUAGUGCUCGGCCGCCGGAACCUUGUUGCCAGGGGAGACGGCCGCUUUACGGCAGCACGUUUGAACCGGCAGGAGGGAAAAGUUUCUUCUUCGCCCCGCUUGGGCGCGACGCAGGUUAAUACGGGAAGAAAUCGUGCAUCGUAUUUGCAGGCAGAUUCACUGGAGAGUGAUCCCAGGCGCCAUUUCAGAUUUCAUUGAGUGACAGAGUCCUGAAAUUCCAGGAUCUUGGACCAUUUAUUGUAGAUGUCUGCUGGCUUCUGCCCGAGAAUGAAAACAAUUUGUUCUGACGGAGGAUAAUCCCUUCGGAGGGUGCACCACCAGCUGGCCGUGUCGAGGGCCAAGGUGCAUCGUUCCUAGAAGCAGGAUGUGGUCAUGUGCCAAAGUCAGCAGAAACAAACAAAUAACCAUGUCAUACCCUCCAUCCAAAGUCUAGUCUUCCCACCAUGCCCAAACAGAAAUAAAAACAGGAUGCGGGAGCCACAUCUAAAUCAAGCGUUUAGUGCAAACAUUUGCACACCUUGGAAUGAUCUUUGAGUUUUUCAAGGGAAGAACACCCUGGGAAGCAUCUCAUGGACAUCUGGGGACAUUUUGUGGCAUCUGUUUUGCAAGCCGGGAAGAAUAAAUCCUACACUUAAAAGCAUUGGGAUCGUUUGCGCCAUACGGCUGAUGACAGUGAAUUUCUCUCUCACUCACUCUCUUUGAUAUGGUGAAUCCACAGUCAAAUAUCUAGCAGGGUUUGUCUCAGUCAUCUUUAAGAUGAACUCCCCACAGUGAGACAAUAUUCUCUUUCAGUGGAGGUCAGCAGGGCAUGGCUUCUUGAUCGUCGUACUCCUUCAGCCAUUUACAAAAAAAGGAGGUCAAAUAAACAACAAUAAUAAGGACUUUCUGCAUCCAGCCUGCUUUACUCUGGUGCAGGCAAGUUAAUACAGUCUGAAGGUAAUUUUUAGACACCUUUGGCAGGUGUCGGCUUUGAGGAAGUUGAUAGCACACUCUCAAGAUCAGACGUAAGAUAGCUGGAAGGGAUUGUGUGAUUACUGGUGCUUCCAGACCGCUGCUAUUUUUUGGUGGGAUUCAGUCACCUCACAACAAAAUCAGGUUGUGCAACGAUAGCUGACUGGGAGGUCUUGCACAACAAACCCACUUCCCCCAAAGAUUAGACGUUUUUCAAUAAAGAAAGUAACAGGAAAAUGCAGUGGAAAGUGUAGGAUGAUGUUUGCUUUGAAGUAAUGUUUAAAUUCCCCACAAACAAAGUAGAAUACAUGCUCAUUUAAUAGUCGAUGUUGUCUAAUCUCCCUGAAAACAAAUCGGAGUGAAUGGUCAAGAAUCAGGUCUUGGGCAACUAUGUCAAUUUUGGUUUCUCUCAGUUUUUCAUUUUUAAAUCUUAAAUUCAGUUCUCCAUAUUUUACACAUCAGUUUUAGCAUUUUUUUAAAAAAGUCCUCAUGAAAAUUUAUUUAUUGCAUUUAUACCCCACCUUUUCCUCAAGAUGUUCAAGGUGUUGUACAUCGUUCUCCUUCUCAUUUUAUCCUCACAAUAAGCCUGUUUACACCAACCCCCUCCCUCCAAAGAUGGCCGACAGCAAUGGAUCAUUUGGGCAAGAACAUUUUUGAAACUUCAAGGUUGCUUGCAAACUUAACACCAUUGCAACACAUUCUUUUGUGCUUUCCAAGUAGUUGAUUAGCUAAAAUCAAAGUGGGGGAACCAUUGUUUUGCAGCAACUAAAACUGCUUGUUUGAUGUAUAUCUACUGUCUUCAGAAAGGGCUGUGCACAGUGACUCCCCAUCCACACACAUUGCAGCAUCUUUUAAAGCCUCUUAGCAGCACGGAAGAAUUCACCCCUCCCAAGUUGGGAGUGUUUACCUUGAAGCUGACUGAAUUCACCUUUAGCCGAUCCCAGCAGAUGGUUUUGCAUUAAACAUCUUGCUUGCUUGAGAAACUUCCCUCCCUUGCGUACUGAUCCAGCAACACACCACACCUUUUCUGCAAUGUGCACAACUCCAGAUAAGAAUUGUGAGUGGCGAUUCAUGAAUUGUGUAAGUUCAGAGUUCAGCUUGGCCCAGCUCCCUGAGUCAGGCCAGAUUUGGGGUUAUUAAAGAAAACAUGCCAAACCACAGCAUUACCUUAUUCCCACCUGCAAUCAUAAAUAUAUCCCGUGUUUCUUUAAAGUUUUGAGUUCACCAAAAGGUUUAGGUGGCUCAGUGAACAUUUUCACUGGAGAAGUCCCAUUAAAACAAAUUGAAUUGCAGUAAAUGUCAGCUAGUCAAUGGAAUCAUUCCUUUGUAAAAUUUGGCCAGAGUUCAAAGUCAAAUUCUAGUCAACUGGGUUCACGCAGUUCAGAGGUGCAAUAAAGCUCAACUUGCAGUGUAGAAGUAGGACCACCCUGAAUUCAUUUCUGUCCAAAAGGCAGAAGAGCUCCCAAAAUCUGUGUGGCUGCCCUGUGUGUGGUGAAUGUGUGAACUGCAGUUAGCGGUCUUCUCCAUGAAGAACCUUCUGGACUGACUCCACCCACCCAACCUGACCCAUUGCCUCUGGGUAGGAAGGAGAAUAAAGGGCUUCUUUUCCCAGCUGAAUGUUGCUUGAGCAACAAGGCCAAUGUGAGUGUUGUUGAUUUAUCUCACUUGUGUCUGCGGCCCUGCCUUCUGGUUUGCUCUCUAAUCUGGGUUGGUCUUCAAUUCUGACUCCCACUUCCAGUCUCCCAACUCACUCCAGACCAGUCUUUCGAACGAACCAGGCCUUUUUUCCAAUUGGAACAUUCCAGAAUACAUUCGGCACCUGUCAGGUGGGCGUCAUUGCCAUUAUAAGACAACAAUGGUGGCAUUCAUGGUGAGUUCUGGCACCUUUUUUAAUGUAGAAAAAUAGCACUGGAAUGAACUGAUUCAGUUCAGCUAAUUCACCAAAUUGAUUAAAAAAAUCUCUGAAUUACACAUGAAAGUAGUUCUUAUAACUUCUGGGUGAACCAAAUCUUUUGUGAUGGAACUUUGGGAAAUUUUAAAUUGAAUUCCGUUUUAAUUUUAAUUCAAUAAUUUAUAUUUAUACUUUAUACUUA